rnacentral:rRNA from 1 species
GAUGAACGCUGGCGGCGUGCCUAAUACAUGCAAGUCGAGCGAACAGACGAGGAGCUUGCUCCUCUGACGUUAGCGGCGGACGGGUGAGUAACACGUGGAUAACCCACCUAUAAGACUGGGAUAACUUCGGGAAACCGGAGCUAAUACCGGAUAAUAUAUUGAACCGCAUGAUUCAAUAGUGAAAGACGGUUUUGCUGUCACUUAUAGAUGGAUCCGCGCCGCAUUAGCUAGUUGGUAAGGUAACGGCUUACCAAGGCAACGAUGCGUAGCCGACCUGAGAGGGUGAUCGGCCACACUGGAACUGAGACACGGUCCAGACUCCUACGGGAGGCAGCAGUAGGGAAUCUUCCGCAAUGGGCGAAAGCCUGACGGAGCAACGCCGCGUGAAUGAUGAAGGUCUUCGGAUCGUAAAACUCUGUUAUUAGGGAAGAACAAAUGUGUAAGUAACUAUGCACGUCUUGACGGUACCUAAUCAGAAAGCCACGGCUAACUACGUG